AUUGCUUCUCGGCCUUUUGGCUAAGAUCAAGUGUAGUAUCUGUUCUUAUCAGUUUAAUACCCUUGACCUGCUCAUUUGUUCAGAAGCUCUUUCCUGCCACCAUUA
rnacentral:snRNA from 1 species